CAGAAUCACCUGGAGGAUUUUUAAAACUCAGAAGGAUGGGCCCUACCGGCAGAGUUUCUGAAUCUGAAGAUCUAGGGUGGAGCAAGGUAUUGCAAUGAAUAAAUACAUGAUUAAAAACUUAUCAAAAACCUAAGAGAAAAUUGCUGGAGCUACCGACAAAGCAAUAAAACCAGGAAGAACCUUCAAAUUCCCUUGUGUAAGUUAUAUUAGACAAUAAGAUUGCUCUUGACCACAUCCUAGCUAAACAAGGUGGAACAGAUGUACCAGGAAUGAGCCUUCCGGUUGACGAGGGAUUAGCAAUGGCUUGACAUACCAAAAGUGAGCCUUCCUGAGAAUGGAGAACUAGUGAUGCUUUUAGUAAAUGACUGGUGUUACUUUCCAGUGAUUGAUCAAUGAUGCAUUCAAGGAAAGAUAUCGAAAGAGGGAAAUAGAAAACAUAAUAUAAAGGAAGCCACUUUAAAAUGGAGCCAGAGUUGCCAUCCAGAGGAACAGCAUGUCUUACUCCUCAAACCUUUGGAAUGUAAAACUGGGCAAAAUAACCUUUGGACUGAGCCGAAAGCAGCAUUCUAUCCCCAAACACAGUUUGUAAAGAUAAGAAAGCAGAUACUACGACUACUGGACUGAAAUUCAAAACAUUCUUUGGAAUGACAAUACGUUGUUAGCUUAUCUUCAGCUAUAAAAAUUCUUUCCUUCUAUUGACUUAAUGGUUCCUCUUUCUUUUCUCAUAAAUAAUCCUUGCCUUCACCUCCUAACUGGGACACUGUUUGGGGCUCUGCCUGAAUCAGUGCUUCCAAAAUAGUUAUUCUUUUGAAUCUCAAAUAAAUGCUUGUUGCCUUUCACUUUGGUCUUUUUAUUUCUAGGUUAAUACAUUAUAU